rnacentral:rRNA from 1 species
GACCAAAGUGGGGGACCUUCGGGCCUCAUGCCAUCAGAUGUGCCCAGAUGGGAUUAGCUAGUAGGUGGGGUAACGGCUCACCUAGGCGACGAUCCCUAGCUGGUCUGAGAGGAUGACCAGCCACACUGAAACUGAGACACGGUCCAGACUCCUACGGGAGGCAGCAGUGGGGAAUAUUGCACAAUGGGCGCAAGCCUGAUGCAGCCAUGCCGCGUGUGUGAAGAAGGCCUUCGGGUUGUAAAGCACUUUCAGCGGGG